rnacentral:lncRNA from 1 species
CCAGGCGCAUACACAAUGAUGUAGAGACCGAGGAAGACGAUGGCCAAGUACCCGUUCUUGCUGGGACAUCCGUCUUUGAAGUAUGUUCGGCCUUUAGUGUGGCAUAAUGCCUUCAUCUCAGCUGACAGAACAACGCAUGCUCCAGGUGCGUACUGUUACAACAAACUCAUGAAUCUUAGCUACUACUAUCUCUUUAUGUGUGUUUUGAUUAAAGAGGCUAAUGUUUUACCUCUUGUGCUCUGUUUGAGCAGAAUCCACAAUGGGAUCUAAGACACUUCAUACAGUUCCAGUUAGAGGGAGGAGCGUUGGAGGCUGUGUAAGGAGCAAACGCAGGACAAGUAGCGUUUAAAGCGAACAUUCUAGAGUCUCUGCUAUCGAUCUUGGGAGAGUGGGUUGAGG